GUAUGGAUAGCUCAGUCAGUAGAGCAUCAGGCUUUUAACUUGAGGGUCCAGAGUUCACGUCCCUGUUUGUGCC
rnacentral:tRNA from 1 species